AGGGGCGGCAGGCGCCAUGUCGGGCCGCGAAGGUGGCAAGAAGAAGCCCCUGAAGCAGCCCAAGAAGCAAGCCAAGGAGAUGGACGAGAUAAGGCAUUCAAGCAGAAACAGAAGGAGGAGCAAAAGAAACUCGAGGAGCUAAAAGCGAAGGCCGCGGGGAAAGGCCCCCUGGGUAAGUGAGGGCGGGGUAGAGCUCAAGCCGGACAAACGCCUGAGCAUCAGUCUGGAUACGGGCCCGAGCAUGUCCGUGUCCUGCCUCGUUGGUGAGUUGCGAGGUCUCUGUUGCUGGUGUCCGCUGCAGUGGACGGCCCCAGCCAGGCUUGGUUUUGCAGCAGCGGGAGAGGGGGCGGGAGCCAGACCCAGUAUGGGCUUCUCUUGCUUAGGGAAGUGGCAGAAAUGGAAAUACAGGAAUUUAUAUAUCUCAGACACAAGUUCGUACAGUUGAGUUUCCAGAUAUCCUCUACAGUUUCUUGCUCCAAAUUCGUAUUUCACUGCUUCUUUGUUGCUUGUAACAUUUCUUAAUUUACUAAUCGUAUUGUUAAAACUCUAG